rnacentral:rRNA from 1 species
UACGUAGGUGGCAAGCGAUACUCGGAAUCACUAGGCGUAAAGCGCAGGUAGGCGGUUCGGUAAGUCUUUUGUGAAAGCUCCCGGCUUAACUGGGAGAGGCCAAAGGAAACUACCGGGCUGGAGUGUGGCAGAGGAAACUGGAAUUCCCGGUGUAGCGGUGAAAUGCGUAGAUAUCGGGAGGAAUACCUAUGGCGAAAGCAGGUUUCUGGGCCAUCACUGACGCUGAUCUGCGAAAGCUAGGGGAGCAAACAGG